rnacentral:rRNA from 1 species
UCGAGGGGUAGAGAAUGCUGUGCAUUCUUGAGACCGGCGCACGGGUGCGUAACGCGUAUACAAUCUGCCUCUUACUGCGGGAUAGCCCAGAGAAAUUUGGAUUAAUACCGCAUAGUAUAAUUACUUGGCAUCAAGUUAUUAUUAAAGGUUACGGUAAGAGAUGAGUAUGCGUUCUAUUAGCUAGAUGGAGUGGUAACGGCACACCAUGGCAACGAUAGAUAGGGGUCCUGAGAGGGAGAUCCCCCACACUGGUACUGAGACACGGACCAGACUCCUACGGGAGGCAGCAGUGAGGAAUAUUGGACAAUGGAGGCAACUCUGAUCCAGCCAUGCCGCGUGCAGGAAGACUGCCCUAUGGGUUGUAAACUGCUUUUGUACGGGAAGAAACAACUCUACGUGUAGAGUCUUGACGGUACCGUAAGAAUAAGGAUCGGCUAACUCCGUGCCAGCAGCCGCGGUAAUACGGAGGAUCCAAGCGUUAUCCGGAAUCAUUGGGUUUAAAGGGUCCGUAGGUGGAUGAUUAAGUCAGAGGUGAAAUCCUGCAGCUCAACUGUAGAAUUGCCUUUGAUACUGGUUAUCUUGAAUCAAUGUGAAGUGGUUAGAAUAUGUAGUGUAGCGGUGAAAUGCAUAGAUAUUACAUAGAAUACCAAUUGCGAAGGCAGAUCACUAACAUUGUAUUGACACUGAUGGACGAAAGCGUGGGGAGCGAACAGGAUUAGAUACCCUGGUAGUCCACGCCGUAAACGAUGGAUACUAGCUGUUCGGAUUUAUCUGAGUGGCUAAGCGAAAGUGAUAAGUAUCCCACCUGGGG